AUUAUCUUAUCUCCCUCACUUUUCAGCCACACACUCACUCACACGUCACUCUCUUCUUCUUCCUUUCCUUUUUCCUUUUUCUUUCCCUUUUCUUCUCCUUUCUCAUGCCCACAUAGCAGCCCUCACCCUUUCUUUUCUCUUCUUUCUUCUUUUUCUUCUAAUCUUCUUGCUCCUCUGCUCUACCCGAACACAGAGAGAGAUGAAACCGAGAGAGAGAGCCGAGUGAUGGAGAGUGAGAUUGGGAGAGAGAGAUUCAUCGGAGGAGGGAAAUCCAACCGUUCAGAGGUCCGUUUUUCCGGUAGGUACUGUUGAGUUGUUGCAGGUGAGCCAAGAGGACCGUUUUCCGGCGAGCCCGUAACCCGAAGAGACUCGGAGACCCGAGCAACCGCCAGACCCGUGUGCGUAACCCGCUGUACCCGUGAGAACUUGAUCCUCCAUGAUCGGCGGCUGGGGCUGAAAUCUGGUGAUUGAGGAGCUCCGGUAGAGUCCAGAAGCUUGAACCAGCGACCCGUGAGCCCAGAAAACACGAGAACCCGAUGCAGCCGUGCAACCCGAGCAACCCAUGACCCGUACCCAUGAGACCCGGUUCUUCAUAGCGAUUUCCGGCGACUUUUCCGGCGGGAAUUAGAGGCGAUUUUAAUGGGUUUUUGAGGAAAAUCCCAAAGGAUUGUGUCUGGAUUGGAGACUUUAAUUGGUUCUCCAAUGUAGAGGUCAAGUACUUAGAAUACAGGAGAAAAUGUUGAAGUCAUGAGUUCAAUGCAGCCAAGGUGAGUAUUUUACUCACUGAGAAGUAUUAUUUUCAUAUAUGAUGAAUUGCAAAAUAUAUAUUGUUUUUACAAACUUGAACCAACUGUAUAUUAAUUAUGAACUGUUUUGGAUGAUUUGAGUACUUUUGAGUAUUGAAAUUAUGAUGAUGUUUUGAAGUUUGAAUAUGAUAUGUGGAGUUUAAAUGAAUGGAGUCACUGUAUGUUAUGGUUUGGAGUUUUGAAAACUAUGAUUGUAAUAGAACACGAAUAUGAUUUUAAAGGGAGUUAAGUUAUGCAAAUUGUUUAAGAAAUGACAUGUUGAAUUGUUUAUGUUUUUAUAAAGAAAGCAUGUGUUAAAGACAUAAUUCAUGAAACGAAAUGUAUAUUGUUUUAAGGCAUGAUGCAUAUGCAUAUGAACGCUAAACGUGCAUCGAAGUGAGGUUCAUAGCCCACGGGAAACAAUGCUUGGAUUAAUUUCCAUGAUGCUUGGAUUAAUUUCCAUGAUGCUUGGGGUAACACCCAUGAUGCUUGGAUUAAUUUCCAUGAUGCUUGGAUUAAUUUCCAUGAUGUGCAUUGCAUGAUCAUUUAUAGCAUUGUUUUGAUGAGUGUGAUGUUUUUAUGUUAUGAGUAGUUUUGUUAGACAUAUUAGUAUGCAUAAGAGUCUCAAUGGGAAAGAACUUGUGUAUAUUUCUAUCGGAUGGCUGCAUGAUUUAAAUGUCAUUGUUUUCUAAAUCUCAUUGAAACAAAAGUAAUAUAGUAGGUGAGGAUGAAUUUAGUUUUCAAUAAUAAAACUUUUACGUAUAAGCUCAGCUGCGUAGUAUGCUUUUAAUGCUUUUUAAUAAUCAGUGUUUGCUAUAUCAGCUAUGGGGGUUUUCAAAUAAAAGGUUAUAAAUUGGUGGUUGUUAUAGUGUACGCAUGACUAGAAAAUGAAAGUUGGUUCUUUGCGAAAAACUCAGUGAAUAGUAUACCUCUGAGGUCUUAGUGUAUUUAUUUAUGCCAAGACGGUGGGCUCAUAAUUUCACCUAUACGGAUGUGGCAAACCCCCACAACCGUAUAAAUGUUCAUUUGGCUGCAGGUACUCCGGUUGUAGGGGAGAGUGUUGUUGAUGUGCACUUGGGAUAAUAUGACCGAAGCUCGCCGCGACGGUCGUAAUGGUUGGACCACAAUUGUCCACUAUUUUAUAGGUUCUGUUUAUGGCUUGUGACGCUUUGGUCACUUGUUAUUGUAUAAGCCAUUCAUGUUGUUUAAUUAUUAUGUUGAUAAGAUUUAAACAUAUAGAUGUUAAAUGGCUCGGUAUUGUAAAUAACUUGUAAGAGAUGUAUAAGCUAUGAUUUCCGCUAUUCAAGUUUAUGUUUCUGCUG